rnacentral:rRNA from 1 species
CCUACGGGAGACAGCAGUGAGGAAUAUUGGUCAAUGGGCGCGAGCCUGAACCAGCCAAGUCGCGUGAGGGAUGACGGUCCUACGGAUUGUAAACCUCUUUUGCCGGGGAGCAAGCGUGCGUUCGUGAACGCGCGUCGAGAGUACCCGGAGAAAAAGCAUCGGCUAACUCCGUGCCAGCAGCCGCGGUAAUACGGAGGGUGCGAGCGUUAAUCGGAAUUACUGGGCGUAAAGCGCUCGUAGGCGGUAUGUCAAGUCAAGGGUGAAAUCCCCGCGCUCAACGUGGGAACUGCCUUUGAAACUGGCAAACUGGAGUGUGUGAGAGGAUAGUGGAAUUCGAGGUGUAGGAGUGAAAUCCGUAGAUAUCUGGAGGAACAUCAGUGGCGAAGGCGACUAUCUGGCACAUAACUGACGCUGAGGCACGAAGGCCAGGGGAGCGAAAGGGAUUAGAUACCCUGGUAGUC